AGUGAACGCUGGCGGUAGGCCUAACACAUGCAAGUCGAACGGCAGCACAUUAAGAGCUUGCUCUUACGGGUGGCGAGUGGCGGACGGGUGAGGAAUACAUCGGAAUCUACUUUUUCGUGGGGGUUAACGUAGGGAAACUUACGCUAAUACCGCAUACGACCUACGGGUGAAAGCAGGGGAUCUUCGGACCUUGCGCGAUUGAAUGAGCCGAUGUUGGAUUAGCUAGUUGGCGGGGUAAAGGCCCACCAAGGCGACGAUCCGUAGCUGGUCUGAGAGGAUGAUCAGCCACACUGGAACGAAGACACGGUCCAGACUCCUACGGGAGGCAGCGGUGGGGAAUAUUGGACAAUGGGCGCAAGCCUGAUCCAGCCAUACCGCGUGGGUGAAGAAGGCCUUCGGGUUGUAAAGCCCUUUUGUUGGGAAAGAAAAGCAGCAGGUUAAUACCCCGCUGUUCUGACGGUACCCAAAGAAUAAGCACCGGCUAACUUCGUG
rnacentral:rRNA from 1 species